rnacentral:rRNA from 1 species
GAUGAACGCUGGCGGAGUGCCUAAUACAUGCAAGUCGAGCGAACGGACGAGAAGCUUGCUUCUCUGAUGUUAGCGGCGGACGGGUGAGUAACACGUGGAUAACCUACCUAUAAGACUGGGAUAACUUCGGGAAACCGGAGCUAAUACCGGAUAAUAUUUUGAACCGCAUGGUUCAAAAGUGAAAGACGGUCUUGCUGUCACUUAUAGAUGGAUCCGCGCUGCAUUAGCUAGUUGGUAAGGUAACGGCUUACCAAGGCAACGAUGCAUAGCCGACCUGAGAGGGUGAUCGGCCACACUGGAACUGAGACACGGUCCAGACUCCUACGGGAGGCAGCAGUAGGGAAUCUUCCGCAAUGGGCGAAAGCCUGACGGAGCAACGCCGCGUGAGUGAUGAAGGUCUUCGGGUCGUAAAACUCUUUUAUUAGGGAAGAACAGAAGUGGAAGUAACUGUGGACAUCUUGACGGUACCCAAUGAGAAAGCCCCGGCUAACUACGUG